GCUAGGUUUUAUACAGUAAUAAUAUAUAUCUGCCUCACUCUCAGAGAAAUCAGUAGUACUGCUAGGUUUUAUACAGUAAUAAUAUAUAUCUGCCUCACUCUCAGAGAAAUCAGUAGUACUGCUAGGUUUUACACAGUAAUAAUAUAUAUCUGCCUCACUCUCAGAGAAAUCAGUAGUUCUGCUAGGUUUUACACAGUAAUAAUAUAUAUCUGCCUCACUCUCAGAGAAAUCAGUAGUACUGCUAGGUUUUAUACAGUAAUAAUAUAUAUCUGCCUCACUCUCAGAGAAAUCAGUAGUACUGCUAGGUUUUACACAGUAAUAAUAUAUAUCUGCCUCACUCUCAGAGAAAUCAGUAGUACUGCUAGGUUUUAUACAGUAAUAAUAUAUAUCUGCCUCACUCUCAGAGAAAUCAGUAGUACUGCUAGGUUUUACACAGUAAUAAUAUAUAUCUGCCUCACUCUCAGAGAAAUCAGUAGUACUGCUAGGUUUUACACAGUAAUAAUAUAUAUCUGCCUCACUCUCAGAGAAAUCAGUAGUACUGCUAGGUUUUACACAGUAAUAAUAUAUAUCUGCCUCACUCUCAGAGAAAUCAGUAGUACAGCUAGGUUUUACACAGUAAUAAUAUAUAUCUGCCUCACUCUCAGAGAAAUCAGUAGUACUGCUAGGUUUUAUACA